GAAAUCUCGGCUAAGAAAGGACAAGACAAAGUCAACGGGAGUUAGCUCGAAAAUUACGGUUAAGUUAAGGCUAGACUGUUGAAUCAGCAUCCCAGGCCGAUCCCAAAUUCAAUGAGGUAAAGUAUGUUGAGUAUUGAUAAUGGCAUGUACCUAGGAUGUUUAAUGAGACUCAUUUAGGUUGUAAAAGUAUUGAUGAAAUAAGUAAAUUAUGGUUGUCAACGA